rnacentral:lncRNA from 1 species
UGGUUAGAAGAGAAUAAUUGUAAAAAUCAAAUAAAAUUGAGGCUGGCAUAGGAAGUACAGAUUAAAUACAGGUUAAAUAGCUACCAGAAACACAGAAGAGGAUGCUAAGACCCAGUUAGCUUUAAAUGGUUUUUAGAAAGACUUACCUAGUCAAAAGUGGUUAAUUUGAACUUUUCAAACUUGCAAAAGCAUAUACAUUU